GACGAACGCUGGCGGCGUGCUUAACACAUGCAAGUCGAACGGGCUCUGUCUGGCUGUGUGCUGGGUGGGGUUAGUGGCGAACGGGUGAGUAAUACGUGAGUAACCUGCCCUCUUCUUUGGGAUAAGCCUUGGAAACGGGGUCUAAUACUGGAUAUUCCUGUCUGGUCGCAUGGCUGGGUGGGGAAAGUUUUUUUCGGUGGGGGUUGGGCUCGCGGCCUAUCAGCUUGUUGGUGGGGUGAUGGCCUACCAAGGCGUCGACGGGUAGCCGGCCUGAGAGGGUGACCGGCCACACUGGGACUGGGAUACGGCCCAGACGCCUACGGGAGGCAGCGGUGGGGGAUAUUGCACAAUGGGCGCAAGCCUGAUGCAGCGACGCCGCGUGGGGGAUGACGGCUUUCGGGUUGUAAACCUCUUUCGUCGGGGGACAAGGCUCUGCUUGGUGGUGGGGUUGAGGGUACCCGGUGAAGAAGCGCCGGCUAACUACGUG
rnacentral:rRNA from 1 species